rnacentral:rRNA from 1 species
CGAGGGGCAGCGGGGUAGUGCUUGCACUACUGCCGGCGACCGGCGCACGGGUGAGUAACACGUAUGGAACCUGCCCGCAGCAGGGGGAUAAGCGGGAGAAAUUCCGUCUAAUACCGCGUAAGAACGUUGGGAGGCAUCUCCCGAUGUUUAAAGAUUUAUCGGCUGCGGAUGGCCAUGCGGCGCAUUAGCUAGUCGGCGGGGUAACGGCCCACCGAGGCGACGAUGCGUAGGGGUUCUGAGAGGAAGGUCCCCCACACUGGUACUGAGACACGGACCAGACUCCUACGGGAGGCAGCAGUGAGGAAUAUUGGUCAAUGGCCGAGAGGCUGAACCAGCCAAGUCGCGUGAGGGAAGACGGCCCUACGGGUUGUAAACCUCUUUUGUCGGGGAGCAAAGCGAACCACGUGUGGUUCAUUGAGAGUACCCGAAGAAAAAGCAUCGGCUAACUCCGUGCCAGCAGCCGCGGUAAUACGGAGGAUGCGAGCGUUAUCCGGAUUUAUUGGGUUUAAAGGGUGCGCAGGCGGAGGUGCAAGUCAGCGGUCAAAUUGCGGGGCUCAACCCCGUACUGCCGUUGAAACUGCAUCCCUUGAGUGCGCGAGAAGUAUGCGGAAUGCGUGGUGUAGCGGUGAAAUGCAUAGAUAUCUCGGGGAACUCCGAUUGCGAAGGCAGCAUACCGGCGCGCAACUGACGCUCAUGCACGAAAGCGUG